rnacentral:rRNA from 1 species
UACGGGAGGCAGCAGUGGGGAAUAUUGCACAAUGGGCGCAAGCCUGAUGCAGCCAUGCCGCGUGUAUGAAAAAGGCCUUCGGGUUGUAAAGUACUUUCAGUCGUGAGGAAGGUGUUAAGGUUAAUAACCUUAGCAAUUGACGUUAGCGACAGAAGAAGCACCGGCUAACUCCGUGCCAGCAGCCGCGGUAAUACGGAGGGUGCGAGCGUUAAUCGGAAUUACUGGGCGUAAAGGGCACGCAGGCGGUUAAUUAAGUUGGAUGUGAAAUCCCCGGGCUUAACCUGGGAAUGGCAUUCAAGACUGGUUAGCUAGAGUCUUGUAGAGGGGGUAGAAUUCCAUGUGUAGCGGUGAAAUGCGUAGAGAUGUGGAGGAAUACCGGUGGCGAAGGCGGCCCCUGGACAAAGACUGACGCUCAUGUGCGAAAGCGUGGGGAGCAAACAGGGACUUAGAUACC